ensembl:lncRNA
UUCAAGUUAUAAACUUACCUCAGUAGUGUACAUGAAAUGGUUUUGAAACAAUAUAGAUGGUUCAGACAGAUGGUGCAGAUAGACGAUCAAAAACAGGAGGCUCAUUGAUAUCUAACUGGCUAUGUCACCAACAUCAGUUUUAAGGUAGUUUGGUAUUUGCCAAGAUAAGAAACCUCUUCUUCUUUUUUUUUUUUUGCACUUAAUUUUACAGGCACAUGUAAAAUACAGUAAGAAUAAGGUGUCAGAGACUCAUCCUAUUUAAAAAAAUUCUAUAGAAAUCCUCCACUAUUGCCAAUGAAAGAGAAUAUUUCUUCCACUGUUUCACAGGAUGAAGAUCUGGUCCUCAUAAAAAUCUCACAACAUGAUUUAUUCUAAUAGGCUAGGAUUUGGAUGCAGGUUUCUAGAUAUGUUUUUAGAACAUUGCACAACUGCUCUACUCUCUAAGUGUGGGUUUUAAAAAUCAAGGAAAAGAAUGUCAAGAACGUGUAAAGGCUUCAACCUGGCACUCAAUAAUUUUAUAGAAUAGUUAAAAAUAAAUAUUGUUUAUAUAUAAAAACUUCCCAUCAGAAGAUGAGAAUAUAGGCAUUUGGGAAUCUUUUAAUUUAUAUUUUUAUAAACAAAAUCUAAAAAUAUUUGCUAAGGGAGUGGACCCACUCUCUGUCCACACAUGUAAAUUUCAUACCGCCACCAGCAAAAAAUCCCAUGGCUGGAGAGAUCAAAUGGAUCCACAAUGACAUAAAAACAUAACUGCAUACUCUCUACCUAUUGCACACCUCACUUCUUUAAGUUUUCCAAUCAAAGUGGAUGCAGUUCAUAAAGUGGGUGAGAAUCAACAUUUUACUGUAUUUUACAUUCGGUCUGCUAAAUAAAAGCCUUUAAACAGGCCACAAAACACUGCAAUAAUAUAAUUACUUCCUAAUAGCAACAAAAACAACAACAACAAAAAAAACCAACAACCUUAUUAAUAACAUUGAAAUAAAAUGGUUUCAUUUUCUGGUAAAACACACACCAUGUACUUUUUUUGCAAAAUAAAACGACAUUAAAAACGUCUAAGUAGAAGAUAUUUACACACUUUUAAAACUCCUACAGGUUUCUCCUCCUCUUCCUGGAUGUGUUCUCCCAAAUUUAGUUCACCGAAGCGGAAGUUACUUGUGCACAGUGUAUGGAGGAAAGCCCCGUUUUUACAAGCACAGUAUUCUAACAGUCCCAACUACAGCAGAAAUUUAGCAACGAGACAUGAUCACCAGACUCUUAAGUAGAUAAAGCAUUACUCUCCUACCGACAAGAACUCUUUUUGGACCCUGUCUACAUUUAAAGCGCGCAUUCUCUGUCACUACAACUUAAACUUCGAAAGAAAAAAAAAAGAAAACAAAAUUCAAGAGAAUCGGAAAGGAAAUUCAAUGUCGGUCUGGGCAAUGAAGAAGCUAGGUAGAGGUGCUCUCUCGUGGGCUCUAUCAAAUCCUGCUUCAGCAUAUGCACCAAAGCAUAAAGAUAAAGAUAAAAAGAUACUACCAAAAAAGUAGUUGAGUGGAGAACUCAGCAAUUUCUUUUCUGUUUCUAACAACCCACUCCCCAAAUGUCCAGUAUUGUCCAGUCUUGGAGGACAAAGGAAAAUGGAAAAUGAGGAAGAGCACAGUAGGUGGGAGAGGCCCAAAUCUAAGAAAUCUCUUAGAAAUCUCAGGCUACUUCCUCCUCC